rnacentral:rRNA from 1 species
GCGUGAGUGAUGACGGCCUUCGGGUUGUAAAGCUCUGUCUUCAGGGACGAUAAUGACGGUACCUGAGGAGGAAGCCACGGCUAACUACGUGCCAGCAGCCGCGGUAAUACGUAGGUGGCGAGCGUUGUCCGGAUUUACUGGGCGUAAAGGGAGCGUAGGCGGACUUUUAAGUGAGAUGUGAAAUACCCGGGCUCAACUUGGGUGCUGCAUUUCAAACUGGAAGUCUAGAGUGCAGGAGAGGAGAAUGGAAUUCCUAGUGUAGCGGUGAAAUGCGU